rnacentral:rRNA from 1 species
UACGUAGGGUGCAAGCGUUAAUCGGAAUUACUGGGCGUAAAGCGUGCGCAGGCGGUUCUAUAAGACAGAUGUGAAAUCCCCGGGCUCAACCUGGGAACUGCAUUUGUGACUGUAGAGCUGGAGUACGGCAGAGGGGGAUGGAAUUCCGGCGUGUAGCAGUGAAAUGCGUAGAUAUGCGGAGGAACACCGAUGGCGAAGGCAAUCCCCUGGGCCUGUACUGACGCUCAUGCACGAAAGCGUGGGGAGCAAACAGG